ensembl:snRNA U6 U6 spliceosomal RNA
GUGCUUGCUUUGACAGAACAUAUACUAAAAUUGGAACAGUACAGAGAAGAUUAACCUGGUCCCUGUGCAAAGAUGACAUGCAAAUUCGUGAAGUGUUCCAUAUUUUU